rnacentral:rRNA from 1 species
UACGAAGGGGGGCUAGCGUUGCUCGGAAUCACUGGGCGUAAAGGGCGCGUAGGCGGCGUUUUAAGUCGGGGGUGAAAGCCUGUGGCUCAACCACAGAAUGGCCUUCGAUACUGGGACGCUUGAGUAUGGUAGAGGUUGGUGGAACUGCGAGUGUAGAGGUGAAAUUCGUAGAUAUUCGCAAGAACACCGGUGGCGAAGGCGGCCAACUGGACCAUUACUGACGCUGAGGCGCGAAAGCGUGGGGGAGCAAACAGG